rnacentral:rRNA from 1 species
UACGUAGGUGGCAAGCGUUGUCCGGAUUUACUGGGCGUAAAGGGCGCGCAGGCGGUCGUUCAAGUCGCGUGUGAAAGCCCCCGGCUCAACUGGGGAGGGUCACGCGAUACUGAUCGACUCGAAGGCAGGAGAGGGUAGUGGAAUUCCCGGUGUAGUGGUGAAAUGCGUAGAUAUCAGGAGGAACACCGGUGGCGAAGGCGGGACUCUGGGCCGAUACUGACGCUGAGGAGCGAAAGCGUGGGGAGCAAACAGG